rnacentral:rRNA from 1 species
UACGUAGGGUGCGAGCGUUGUCCGGAAUUACUGGGCGUAAAGAGCUCGUAGGUGGUUUGUCGCGUUGUUCGUGAAAACUCACAACUCAAUUGUGGGCGUGCGGGCGAUACGGGCAGACUGGAGUACUGCAGGGGGAGACUGGAAUUCCUGGUGUAGCGGUGGAAUGCGCAGAUAUCAGGAGGAACACCGGUGGCGAAGGCGGGUCUCUGGGCAGUAACUGACGCUGAGGAGCGGAAAGCGUGGGGAGCAAACAGG